rnacentral:tRNA from 1 species
GUCCCCGUAUCCCAACGGCAGAGGAAAUGCUCUCAAACAGCAUCGAGUGUGGGUUCGAAUCCCACCGGGGACA